CAGUAGCCGCGGUAAUACAGAGGGUGCGAGCGUUAAUCGGAUUUACUGGGCGUAAAGCGUGCGUAGGCGGCUUUUUAAGUCGGAUGUGAAAUCCCUGAGCUUAACUUAGGAAUUGCAUUCGAUACUGGGAAGCUAGAGUAUGGGAGAGGAUGGUAGAAUUCCAGGUGUAGCGGUGAAAUGCGUAGAGAUCUGGAGGAAUACCGAUGGCGAAGGCAGCCAUCUGGCCUAAUACUGACGCUGAGGUACGAAAGCAUGGGGAGCAAACAGGAUUAGAUACCCCCGUAGCCCUGUCUCUUAUACA
rnacentral:rRNA from 1 species